rnacentral:lncRNA from 1 species
AACCAUGGUUAUAAGCAGUCGCUCGUUAGAAAGUUAAGAAUGGAAAUAGAAAAUAAAAGUUACGAAAGAGGGGUCCAUGAAAGAGGAAGAGAUAGAUUGCCAGCUCUACUGCAAGGGGUAACGACUGAACAGAAUACAAAGUAUGAACCUAUCCCAACGGAACUUGGAGGCUUGAACACAGUUAAAAAGAUCCUGAAGCGAAAGAAGAAGAAACCUGCUUUUAAAAGGCCCCCGCACGGUUUAUGAUGUAUUACGGAAUCCGAAAGUCCCGAGGAGAAGCGGGGAGAGGAGUGGAGUCUAUGAAAUACCUUUAACUGAUGUAGGUACAGG